rnacentral:rRNA from 1 species
CCUACGGGAGGCAGCAGUGGGGAAUAUUGGACAAUGGGGGAAACCCUGAUCCAGCAAUGCCGCGUGUGUGAAGAAGGUCUUCGGAUUGUAAAGCACUUUUGGCAGGGAGGCGGUACCUGCAGAAUAAGCCCCGGCUAACUUCGUGCCAGCAGCCGCGGUAAUACGAAGGGGGCUAGCGUUGCUCGGAAUGACUGGGCGUAAAGGGCGCGUAGGCGGCAUAGACAGUCAGAAGUGAAAUUCCUGGGCUCAACCUGGGGACUGCUUUUGAUACGUUUAAGCUAGAGUAUGGAAGAGGGUUGUGGAAUUUCCAGUGUAGAGGUGAAAUUCGUAGAUAUUGGAAAGAACACCGGUGGCGAAGGCGGCAACCUGGUCCAUACUGACGCUGAGGCGCGAAAGCGUGGGGAGCAAACAGGAUUAGAUACCCUUGUAGUC